rnacentral:rRNA from 1 species
UACGUAGGGGGCAAGCGUUGUCCGGAAUCAUUGGGCGUAAAGAGCGCGUAGGCGGCCCUGUAAGUCCGCUGUGAAAGUCAAGGGCUCAACCCUUGAAUGCCGGUGGAUACUGCAGGGCUAGAGUCCGGAAGAGGCGAGUGGAAUUCCUGGUGUAGCGGUGGAAUGCGCAGAUAUCAGGAGGAACACCAAUAGCGAAGGCAGCUCGCUGGGACGGUACUGACACUGAGGCGCGAAAGCGUGGGGAGCGAACAGG